rnacentral:rRNA from 1 species
AACGAACGCUGGCGGCAUGCCUAACACAUGCAAGUCGAACGAGACCUUCGGGUCUAGUGGCGCACGGGUGCGUAACGCGUGGGAACCUGCCCUUAGGUUCGGAAUAACUCCCCGAAAGGGGUGCUAAUACCGGAUAAUGUCUUCGGACCAAAGAUUUAUCGCCUUUGGAUGGGCCCGCGUUGGAUUAGCUAGUUGGUAGGGUAAAAGCCUACCAAGGCGACGAUCCAUAGCUGGUCUGAGAGGAUGAUCAGCCACACUGGGACUGAGACACGGCCCAGACUCCUACGGGAGGAAGCAGUGGGGAAAAUUGGAAAAGGGGCGAAAGCCUGAUCCAGCAAUGCCGGGUGAGUGAGGAAGGCCUUAGGGUUGAAAAGCUUUUUUACCCGGGAUGAUAAGGACAGUACCGGGAGAAUAAGCCCGGGCUAACCCCGG